UUUAAUUGGAGAGUUUGAUCCUGGCUCAGAAUGAACGCUGGCGGCGUGCUUAACACAUGCAAGUCGUACGAGAACACCCUAGCUUGCUAGGGUAAGUAAAGUGGCGCACGGGUGAGUAACGCGUGGGUAAUCUACCUUCGAAUUGGGGAUAACGUUGCGAAAGCGACGCUAAUACCGAAUAAUAUCCAUUAAUCUUCGGGUUUUUGGAUCAAGGGUGGCCUCUACAUGUAAGCUACUGUUUGAAGAUGAGCCCGCGUACCAUUAGUUUGUUGGUGGGGUAACGGCCUACCAAGGCAGCGAUGGUUAGCUGGUCUGAGAGGAUGAUCAGCCACACUGGAACUGACACACGGUCCAGACUCCUACGGGAGGCAGCAGUGAGGAAUUUUGCGCAAUGGGGGAAACCCUGACGCAGCAAC
rnacentral:rRNA from 1 species